GGACUACCGGGGUAUCUAAUCCCAUUUGCUCCCCUAGCUUUCGUUCCUCAGCGUCAGUUACAGCCCAGCAAGCCGCUUACGCCACCGGUGUUCUUCCCAAUAUCUACGCAUUUCACCGCUACACUGGGAAUUCCGCUUGCCUCUACUGCACUCCAGUCCACCAGUAUCCAGUGCUGUACACGGGUUGAGCCCGCGCCUUUUACACCAGACUUAAUGAACCACCUACGAACUCUUUACGCCCAAUAAAUCCGGACAACGCUCGCAUCCUACGUCUUACCGCGGCUGCUGGCAC
rnacentral:rRNA from 1 species